UUCUCUCUAUAUUCUUCUUCCUAGCCUCUCUCAAAAUUUCCUAAGACUCUCUAGAUCCAGAAUCGGUACCGUACUCUCGACGUCCUCCAUCUACAAUCAUCUUUGUUAACUCCGCUUAAAGGUUGCGACUUGCUGCACUGCUCCUCUGCCAUAGCUGUGGCCACCACCGCCUCUUCCUUGCUCCUCCCUUCCAUAUCUCUCAACAACCUCUGCUCCUUCUUUAAAAAUGCCUCCCCCUCUGCUUCUCCGACAAGAGCAUCAGAAGAUCUAGGGUUUCCCUGAGCGUCUCUGCUGGGUCUAAGAAUACCUUCAAAAUUCUGGGUUUUUAAAUUACUGAUAAUGAAGAUUUUGGUCUCGUCGCGACUCUAUCUCUCUCGCCGAAUCCCUCUCUCUGCUCACUAUCUCUCGUUGACUCACUCUCUAGCCGCCUCUGUUUCUCUCUCGCUGCUUCACACCACCGCUCUCUCUUGCCGCUACAAGACCACAAAUCCUCGUACUCAGGUGAAAAAUCUUCUGCAGCAAAUGAUGGAUUAACGCAACCGUUCUGGGCUCUCCCCUGGAGAUGUUAUGUCCAAACUCAUGAGCACAAGAACAUCUCAGUUCCGGAGUUUACAUGUGUCUCAUCUGCUAAGGUUCCUCCUCUGGGUAAAGGAGCUUUGUAUAUAAGGCCUCUGCUAAUAGGGAGUUUUCUGAUUUGUUCACUUGUAUAAAUGAAGUAAGUUUUGAUUUUUUCAAAGAGUUGCAUUUUGUUUGUUUGUUUUCAGAAGCCUGGAUGCUUAUUACUUGGUUUCCAUAAGCUCUUUCGGUCUGCAAUCAGUUCGAUUCUGAUUUUUCUUGUGUAUUGGAUUGGGUGAUCUGGUGAAGAUGCUUUUGAGACUGCAAAGAGUUGACGUUUCUUCUUCUCCUUAAUCUCAGAGAAUGUGCAAUGGAAAGACUGAUUUGAGUCUGUUAUUUAUUUUUUAAUAUUAAAUUUAUAGAGAGAGAAUGUUUGGAGAGAGAGAGAAAAAAUGAAUUUAUAAUAUAAAAAA